AAAUUUCUGACAUAUAUAUAUGUAAUAUUUUUUUUUCCACACAUAUUUUAACUUAUUGGACCCUCACCUAAACUCCAUGAUUAUGUUUGUUCUCUAGUCAAGAUAGAAAACAACAACCAAACUAAGUUUCCAAUUGCACGUGAAAGACCAAUUAUUGUCACUUGAUUAUGACAUUUAUGAUAAGAUUAGGGUUAUCAAAAUCCUAAACACGAAAAGGUAACAUUAGAAGUUAGAAGUGCAAUAAAAUCAAUGUAGAGACUUGCAAAUCUUUUACUAAAAUUCAUCAACCCAAAAAGAUCAAAAUAUGGGGACAAUUUGUUCUGAUAACAUGGUUGAAACUUACAUUAUACAGCUGCCCUUACCUCAUUCCUACAAUCUCAAGUUGCAGUUGCCCUCCAUAUAGAGAUCUUAGUAAAUUUGAGAAAGAAUCAUAAACAAG
rnacentral:misc_RNA from 1 species